rnacentral:rRNA from 1 species
UACGGGGGGGGCAAGCGUUGUUCGGAAUUACUGGGCGUAAAGCGUGCGUAGACGGUUAUUUAAGUCGGGUGUGAAAGCCCCGGGCUCAACCUGGGAAUUGCAUUCGAGACUGAAUAGCUAGGGUACGGUAGAGGGAAGUGGAAUUUCCGGUGUAGCGGUGAAAUGCGUAGAUAUCGGAAGGAACAUCAGUGGCGAAAGCGACUUCCUGGACCAGUACCGACGUUCAGGCACGAAAGCGUGGGGAGCAAACAGG